rnacentral:lncRNA from 10 species
GUCAAAAGAGUCCUCAGAAGUGUCCUGAGCGGUCGCAGGGUAAUGACGUCGGCCGUAUCGGGGAUGCUGGAACCUGCGGUUGAGUGAGAAACCGGCGCCACCGCCUGCGUCUUGGUCUCGGGCUGGUGGCCAGCGGGGUCUGGGCGUGGUUUUACCCAGCUCCUUUGCGAAGCUGCUGUCCUUUCCUCAACGUUACCACCCGGCUGGGCAGCCUACCCUCGGUCAGUACGUCCUGGCAAGAGCGCUUCGGGCGUGGCGUUCGUGUCGCGGGGGCCUCGGCUCAGAAGCGAGGGAAGAGCAGCCCUCAGAGGAGCGGCGACCGCGCUUACCGGGAGCCCGGGUUGGGAGAGGGCUCCCCAGGAGGGGUGUGAGCUCCGAACGAGAAAGAACGCCACCGCCUCGUGGGGUCUCUUCCUAAUGUGCAGAUUCCAAAUCUCUACAAUGCUGCAAAAGAGGUUACAGUCCACAUCAAAUUAAGCAUGCCCUAAAGGGCAGCUGGGGUUCAGUUCAAGAGUUGAGUUUUAACACACACCUUUACCUGCCUUAAAAUUGGGCAAGGUAUCACAACGUUAAACCAUUUCUCACAAGGCUCGUUGGUGAUGUUUAAGAUUUUUUGUUUGUUUGUUUGUUUUUUGUUACGGAGUCUCGCUCUGUCGCCCAGACUGGAAUGCAGUGGCGCGAUCUUGGCUGACUACAACCUCCGCCUCCUGGGUUCAAGCGAUUGUCCUGCCUCAGCUUCCUGAGUAGCUGGGAUUACAGGCGCCUGCCACCACGCCCAGCUAAUUUUUCUAUUUUUAGUAGAAACGGGGUUUCGCCUUGUUGGCCAGGCUGGUCUUAAGUUUUGCAUCCUGGCUCCCUCCUCUUACCUAGUCCCAGCCUCUUGUCUACAGGACAAAGCAACUUUCUGCAGUUUUCUGUUUGCUCUUUAGAGAGACGGGGCCCUAAUUUGGCAAAGUGGUAGGGGAGACAGGGCUGGUGUUUAAGGUCGACCAAAGCAACAUCUAAAUCUCUGCUCUUCCCCCAAA